AGGGACGGCCAUCUUUGAUGAGGGCAGAGCUCACGUUGCAUUGAAGACGAAACCUCGGGGAGGUCAGGCACUGUCUUUCCUUCCCUCCCUGCUUGGCGGCUCCUCCACACUUGGAACCUGCAAGGGACCGGGCGAACACCGCCCUCUGAAGAAGCCAAGGAUCUGUGUCCAAAGCCAUCACUGACCCCCAGCCCAAGCAGCCAGCCACCCCCCCACCGCUACCAUGGCCGAAGACGCGGACAUGCGCAAUGAGCUGGAAGAGAUGCAGCGAAGGGCUGACCAGCUGGCUGAUGAGUCACUGGAAAGCACCCGUCGUAUGCUCCAACUGGUUGAAGAGGUAAGGAGUGGCCAUAUUUUAAGAUAAACUAAUCCCUUUUGCCGGCAUAUUCUUUUCCUAGACCCUGCUGCCUUUUCUUAGUACAUGAUCCCAUAGAUUCCCUUGUAGCCUACCUGGAAUCCACAUUAAUGAGGGAGAUGUCAGGUAGCCAUCAAAGGAUCCCCU